UACGUAGGGUGCAAGCGUUGUCCGGAAUUAUUGGGCGUAAAGAGCUCGUAGGUGGCCUGUCGCGUCGGCUGUGAAAACUCGGGGCUCAACUCCGAGCUUGCAGUCGAUACGGGCAGGCUAGAGUUCGGCAGGGGAGACUGGAAUUCCUGGUGUAGCGGUGAAAUGCGCAGAUAUCAGGAAGAACACCCGUGGCGAAGGCGGCUUUCUGGGACGGUACUGACGCUGAGACGCGAAAGCGUGGGGAGCGAACAGG
rnacentral:rRNA from 1 species